GUCAUCUUCCUCCCGACUAAUUCCGUUAAACCCACUGUAUGACAUGGCAUUUUGAAAUUUUGAAUGCAUAAGUGGCAUUUAACUCAAUAUUCCACAAACAUGAAAUUUAAUUAAAAUCUGGAAAACAAAAAUAAAUAAAAAACAACAUGAUCAUCGUCUUCUUCUCUCCUCUCAUUUCCGCCCAAAGCGUAAUUCAUUCCAAACCAACACC
rnacentral:lncRNA from 1 species